GACGAACGCUGGCGGCGUGCUUAACACAUGCAAGUCGAACGGAAAGGCCCUGCUUUUGUGGGGUGCUCGAGUGGCGAACGGGUGAGUAACACGUGAGUAACCUGCCCUUGGCUUUGGGAUAACUUCAGGAAACUGGGGCUAAUACCGGAUAGGAGCUCCUGCUGCAUGGUGGGGGUUGGAAAGUUUCGGCGGUUGGGGAUGGACUCGCGGCUUAUCAGCUUGUUGGUGGGGUAGUGGCUUACCAAGGCUUUGACGGGUAGCCGGCCUGAGAGGGUGACCGGCCACAUUGGGACUGAGAUACGGCCCAGGCUCCUACGGGAGGCAGCAGUGGGGAAUAUUGCACAAUGGGCGGAAGCCUGAUGCAGCAACGCCGCGUGCGGGAUGACGGCCUUCGGGUUGUAACCCGCUUUCGCCUGUGACGAAGCGUGAGUGACGGUAAUGGGUAAAGAAGCACCGGCUAACUACGUG
rnacentral:rRNA from 1 species